GACUGAGGUCCCAAGCGUUAGGCGGAAUCACUGGGCUUAAAGCGUGUGUAGGCGGAUGUCUAAGUACCUUGUGAAAUCCCGCGGCUCAACCGCGGAACUGCUUGGUAUACUGGAUGUCUUGAGCCAUCUAGGGGCUACUGGAACAAAUGGUGGAGCGGUGAAAUGCGUAGAUAUCAUUUGGAACGCCAAUGGUGAAAACAAGUAGCUGGGGAUGUGCUGACGCUGAGACACGAAAGCCAGGGGAGCAAACGGG
rnacentral:rRNA from 1 species